UAUAUGGCGCUCUUGUCUUGAACGUGACGUGGCUUUCCGCUACAACCGGAAGUAGGACAGAGCUACGUGUGCUAAAGAGAGGCUGGAGUGUUGCUCUGUUUCGAGUUAAGAAAGCAAACACUUAAUAAAGAAACAGGAUGGUGACCGACGUGCAGCUGGCCAUCUUUGCCAACAUGCUUGGUGUGUCAUUAUUCCUACUAGUCGUGUUGUACCAUUAUGUUGCUGUCAACAAUCCCAAGAAGCAGGAGUAAAUGUCUACAAUGUCUGGAGAGGGGGAUCAGAAGCACUUCUCAUUCCAUCUCCUUGCUGAGAGACGUUUUGCGGCACCAUCGUUUUUGUUUUUCACAGAUUAAAAACUUCAAUUUGCAAUAAAAACACUAAAAUGAA